GGKUUUCAGGUGCGUCAAGAGCUUUCCCGCUCGCGACGCUACUGGGCCUACGUUUCACUACAAACCAGUUGAAGUAAUAGAAUGUGUAUGGAUGUUWAACGCAUCAAUAAUACAACUUUCAGCAACGGAUCUCUUGGCUCUCGCAUCGAUGAAGAACGCAGCGAAAUGCGAUAAGUAAUGUGAAUUGCAGAAUUCAGUGAAUCAUCGAAUCUUUGAACGCACCUUGCGCUCCUUGGUAUUCCGAGGAGCAUGCCUGUUUGAGUGUCAUGAAAUUCUCAACCUGCAGAGCUUUUGUGGUUCUGUAGGAUUGGACUUGGAGGCUGUUUGCUGGCUGCAAUCAUUUUGCAGUGGGCUCCUCUGAAAUGCAUUAGCUCGGUUCCGUGCGAAUCGGUUGUCAGUGUGAUAAUGUCUACGCUGCAGCCGUGAAGCGUUUUGGCGAGCUUCUAAUUGUCUCGUUGGAGACAACGCUUUUAUUGACCUCUGACCUCAAAUCAGGUAGG
rnacentral:rRNA from 1 species